UACAGAGGGGGCAAGCGUUGUUCGGAAUUACUGGGCGUAAAGGGCGCGUAGGCGGCCUUCUAAGUCGAACGUGAAAUCCCCGGGCUCAACCCGGGAACUGCGUCCGAUACUGGCAGGCUUGAAUCCGGGAGAGGGAUGUGGAAUUCCAGGUGUAGCGGUGAAAUGCGUAGAUAUCUGGAGGAACACCGGUGGCGAAGGCGGCAUCCGUGGACCGGCAUUGACGCUGAGGCGCGAAGCUAGGGGAGCAAACGGG
rnacentral:rRNA from 1 species